AUUGAACGCUGGCGGCAGGCCUAACACAUGCAAGUCGACCGAGUGGCGGACGGGUGAGUAAUGUCUGGGAAACUGCCCGAUGGAGGGGGAUAACAACUGGAAACGGGAGCUAAUACCGCAUACCAGCGGAUGUGCCCAGAUGGGAUUAGCUUGUAGGUGAGGUAACGGCUCACCUAGGCGACGAUCCCUAGCUGGUCUGAGAGGAGGACCAGCCACACUGGAACUGAGACACGGUCCAGACUCCUACGGGAUGCAGCCGUGUGGAAUAUUGCACAAUGGGCGCAAGCCUACUUGAGCCAUGCCGCGUGUAUGAAGAAGGCAGUCGGGUUGUAAAGUACUGUGAGCGGGGAGGCGUUACCCGCAGAAGAAGCACCGGCUAACUCCGUGCCAGCAUCCGCGGUAAUAC
rnacentral:rRNA from 1 species